CCUACGGGGGGCUGCAGUAAGGAAUAUUGGUCAAUGCCCGGAAGGGUGAACCAGCCAUCCCGCGUGAAGGAUGAAGGGGCUCUGCCUUGUAAACUUCUUUUGUAUGGGGCGAAAAAAGGGGAUUUAUCCUCGACUGACGGUACCAUAAGAAUAAGCACCGGCUAACUCCGUGCCAGCAGCCGCGGUAAUACGGAGGGUGCGAACGUUAUCCGGAAUCACUGGGUUUAAAGGGUGCGUAGGCUGUUUAAUAAGUCAGUGGUGAAAGGCCGUCGCUUAACGAUGGGACUGCCAUUGAUACUGUUAGACUUGAAUCAGGUUGAGGUUGGCGGAAUGUGGCAUGUAGCGGUGAAAUGCAUAGAUAUGCCAUGGAAUACCGAUUGCGAAGGCAGCUGACUGGACCUUGAUUGACGCUGAGGCACGAAAGCGUGGGUAGCGAACAGGCUUAGAUACCCCAGUAGUC
rnacentral:rRNA from 1 species